AAUCAACGCUGGCGGCGUGCCUCAGACAUGCAAGUCGAACGCGAAAUUUCCCUUCGGGGAGAAAGUAGAGUGGCGCACGGGUGAGUAACACGUAGGUAAUCUACCUUCGGAUGGGGAAUAACAGUCGGAAACGGCUGCUAAUACCGCAUAAUGCAGCGGCACCUAAUGGUGACAGUUGUUAAAGCGGGGGAUCGAAAGACCUCGCGUCUGAAGAGGAGCCUGCGGCGGAUUAGCUAGUUGGUAAGGUAAUGGCUUACCAAGGCUACGAUCCGUAACCGCCUGAGAGGCGGUCGGUCACACUGACACUGACA
rnacentral:rRNA from 1 species